CUGAGUAGUGGUCAGUCACUCUGCAGCUCACUUCAUACACACCUGACAGAGAAAUGGAAGAGGUGAAUGUAAGAUAAGAUAAGGUAAGAUAAGAGAAGAGCAGGAAGAACUCCUUGUCCACAUCUUUCUGUGAAGCAAUGCACAAACAGAGCUGACAAUAAGGACACUGCCGCAGCUGCAGGACCGGACCUGGACAAAUACAACAAACAGAUUAGUGGAACUGGACGAGGCAGAAGAUAGAGAGAGAGAGAGAGGGCAAAGGCAUAAGACAAGCAGAGAUCUGUUUUUAUCAAAUCUGGAACGUCUUACCAAGG